GUCAGUGUGGUGUAGUGGUUUGAGCAUUGGACUACGGCCCUGGAGACCAGGGUUUGAUUCCCUGCUCAGCCA